ensembl:misc_RNA Metazoa_SRP Metazoan signal recognition particle RNA
GCCGGGUGCGGUGGCGCGUGCCUGUAAUCCAAGCUACCGGAGGCUGAGGUUGGAGGAUCGUUUGAGCUCCGGAGCUCUGAGCUGCAGCAGGCUAUGUCGAUCGGGUGUCCGCACUAAGUUCGGCAUUGAUAUGGUGAUCCUGGGGGAGCCCGGGACCACCAGGUCGUCUAAGGAGGGGUGCACCGGCCCAGGUCGGAGACGGAGCAGGUCAAAGCCCCCGUGUCGCUCAGUAGUGGGAUCGCGCCUGUGAAUAGAUGCUGUAGCGCAGCCUGAGCAAUACAGCGAGACCCAAUCUUUA